AGGGAUGUAGCUCAGUGGUAGAGCACUUGCCUAGCACGCACAAGGCUCUGGGUUCAAUCCCCAGCACCGCAA
rfam:Ictidomys tridecemlineatus contig069685, whole genome shotgun sequence.